GGCCAGACUCCUACGGGAGGCAGCAGUGGGGAAUAUUGGGCAAUGGGCGCAAGCCUGACCCAGCAACGCCGCGUGAAGGAAGAAGGCUUUCGGGUUGUAAACUUCUUUUAAGAGGGACGAAACAAAUGACGGUACCUCUUGAAUAAGCCACGGCUAACUACGUGCCAGCAGCCGCGGUAAUACGUAGGGGGCAAGCGUUAUCCGGAUUCACUGGGUGUAAAGGGAGCGUAGACGGCGACGCAAGUCUGGAGUGAAAGCCCGGGGCCCAACCCCGGGACUGCUCUGGAAACUGCGUCGCUGGAGUACGGGAGGGGCAGGCGGAAUUCCUGGUGUAGCGGUGAAAUGCGUAGAUAUCAGGAGGAACACCGGCGGCGAAGGCGGCCUGCUGGACCGUGACUGACGUUGAGGCUCGAGAGCGUGGGGGGCAAACAGGAUUAGAUACCCCCGUA
rnacentral:rRNA from 1 species